rnacentral:rRNA from 1 species
AUUGAACGCUGGCGGCAUGCCUUACACAUGCAAGUCGAACGGCAGCACGGGGAGGGGCAACCCUUCCUGGUGGCGAGUGGCGAACGGGUGAGUACAACAUCGGAACGUGUCCUCUUGUGGGGGAUAACCAGUCGAAAGACUGGCUAAUACCGCAUGAGCCCGAGAGGGGAAAGCGGGGGAUUCGAAAGAACCUCGCGCGAGUGGAGCGGCCGAUGUCCGAUUAGCUAGUUGGUGGGGUAAAGGCCCACCAAGGCGACGAUCGGUAGCUGGUCUGAGAGGAUGAUCAGCCACACUGGGACUGAGACACGGCCCAGACUCCUACGGGUGGCUG